GCCGGGAUGUCGGAAUUGGCAGACGAGAUCGGCUCAAAACCGAUUGUCCGAGAGGGCGUGCGGGUUCGAGUCCCGCUCCCGGCACCA
rnacentral:tRNA from 1 species